rnacentral:piRNA from 1 species
CGGGAGCCUGCAGCAGGCACAUCUGACC